rnacentral:rRNA from 1 species
CCACUAUGCCCAGCCCUAAAUCUAGAUGCUCACACCUACCAGAGCAUCCGCCUGAGAACUACGAGCACAAACGCUUAAAACUCUAAGGACUUGGCGGUACCCUAAACCCACCUAGAGGAGCCUGUUCUGUAAUCGAUAAUCCACGAUGCACCCAACCACCCCUUGCCAAAGCAGCCUACAUACCGCCGUCGCCAGCCCACCUAUUAUGAAAGUACUACAGUGGGCACAACAGUCCUAACCCCACUAGCAAGACAGGUCAAGGUAUAGCCAAUGGGAUGGAAGAAAUGGGCUACAUUUUCUAAGUUAGAAAAUACACGAAAGGAGGUAUGAAACUACCUCCAGAAGGCGGAUUUAGCAGUAAAGUGGGACAAAAAAGCCCCCUUUAAGUUGGCCCUAGGGUACGU